UACGUAGGGAGCAAGCGUUGUCCGGAAUCAUUGGGCGUAAAGCGCGCGUAGGCGGCCCUGUAAGUCCGUUGUGAAAGUCAAAGGCUCAACCUCGAGACGCCGAUGGAAACCAUCUGGCUAGAGUCCGGAAGAGGAGAGUGGAAUUCCCGGUGUAGCGGUGAAAUGCGCAGAUAUCAGGAAGAACACCGGUGGCGAAGGCGGCUCUCUGGACCUGUUCUGACGUGGAGGAGCGAAAGCGUGGGGAGCGAACAGGA
rnacentral:rRNA from 1 species